rnacentral:rRNA from 1 species
CCUACGGGAGGCAGCAGUGAGGAAUAUUGGUCAAUGGACGAGAGUCUGAACCAGCCAAGUAGCGUGAAGGAUGACUGCCCUAUGGGUUGUAAACUUCUUUUAUAUGGGAAUAAAAUGUUCCACGUGUGGGAUUUUGUAUGUACCAUAUGAAUAAGGAUCGGCUAACUCCGUGCCAGCAGCCGCGGUAAUACGGAGGAUCCGAGCGUUAUCCGGAUUUAUUGGGUUUAAAGGGAGCGUAGGUGGAUUGUUAAGUCAGUUGUGAAAGUUUGCGGCUCAACCGUAAAAUUGCAGCUGAAACUGGCAGUCUUGAGUACAGUAGAGGUGGGCGGAAUUCGUGGUGUAGCGGUGAAAUGCUUAGAUAUCACGAAGAACUCCAAUUGCGAAGGCAGUUCACUGGACUGCAACUGACACUGAGGCUCGAAAGUGUGGGUAUCAAACAGGAUUAGAUACCCGGGUAGUC